UUCCAAAGGAAGUGAAGAGCCGCAUGUCACCUGCACAGUGUGCAGAAUCAUGCUAAGAAUAUAAAUCAACAUUUCAGCCGAUGAUGUAGAGACAGAUUCGACUGCGUUGCAAGAAAAAACAGGGAAACUUUGUUUCGUGCACUAAAGAAAAACAAGGGAUAAUGCAUUAGAGCCUUCAACGAGGAGAAACAAAACUAGAACUCCUCACUUUUUCUUCUACGAGUGGAUCUCAUUUUAGUGAACUCAUUAGUAGUUUAUUUUACUAAGGACUGAACACACACACACUUGAUUGUUGCCAAAAUGUCAAACGUCUUGUGUAACACAGACAGAAAUGUUUGAAGAAGAACACUGAAACCUGAAUGAUGCCCAUCAAACUGCAGUUUGAUCAUCAGAGGAGCAAGAACGAGAAGAUGAAGAACAAACAAGAAAAGUCACAAAUGAAAGUGUCAGGAGAUGCAAAUACAGCGAAACCUGUUCGAUGGGACAGCAUGGAGCAUGUGAGACCAGACUUCUCUUGUGAUCAUCCAGAGAAGGUCCAGGAUGAGCACCUUUUAAGAACUCAAGGACAUUACACAAAAUAAUACAAGCAACUGGAAAACGAGAUGCACCUGACAAUCAGAGGAGACAUUCAGACAAACAGCUGUUUACAGCAAAUAACUGCAGAUAAGAGGUCAUGGAAUCAGAUGAUGAUGGACAUCGGUUAUGUCAAGAGGGUGCUCAUGUAACAUACAAAGUUAGGAAACAGAGACACACGGAGGUGAAUGAGUUAUUCACUGAACAAAGGGAAUAGAUGAGUCUUGUUGAAGGUCUGGAGAGAGGAACCAGCAAUAUAUAUAUUAUAAAAGCAGCUUAUUCCAAAGCUUAGGGCCUAUAAUACAGAAAUUUAUGCUUUUUUAGAAAACAUCUGGAGCUUAAACUCUUGUUUGACAGCACUUCAGUCUCUGUCCUGGACAACUUUCCUCAGUUUGCUUCUUGCAUAUUUCACACAUCCUUCACGGCUGUGCAUUAUGAGCUGUGCUUGUAUUCCUUUAGCGACCACACAGUGUUUUUUUAAUCAUAAUUUUCAAAUGCUUUAUUUUUUGGUUUAUGUAGCUUUCUGUAUUACCGAAUUUGAAUGAGAUGCUGUUCUGUCAUUUAUUCAUUGUGGUGCAGUUUUGAACUUGAAUUCUCGCACUGUAUUUAUUGCACUUUAUUUCCUGCUCUUUGAACUCUUUUCUUUUUUUGAGAACUAGGCAAAUGUGUUUUGUAAAGCCUUACAUUACAUGAAACCAAAUCUGUUUUUGUGGUUCACAAAUCUUAGGCGUCAUAUAGGGGUUGAUAACAGUGACCACUUUUUGAUCUUUGUCCCUCGCGUUAUAUCUGGCAACCCUUGAAGCUUUAAUGAAGAGAACACUCUUGUGUGAAGAAAGAGUUCAGAAAAGAGCAGCAAAAGAAGCUACUGUUAAUGAUGACUGAUCAGGAGUUAUUUAACAGUGUUUUAAAUCACACACACACUUUAACCAAAUUACUUUCAGGCCCCAUGGGAACUGUUGUAUUCAGACGUCCAUUCUUUAAAUCUUUUAAAUGUUGUUUAACUGAUAAUACUAAAGUUUAUGCACUGAUUUGUGUACAAUCAUAUUUUAUAUAUAAAAAAAUGUUUUAUAUUAUAAUUGACAUUGUUUCUUCUGACUGUAUUUUUUACAUAAAAGGUUUCAAACAUAUUAUUUGGUUUAUGAAAGGUGUCAAUAAAAGUUGUAAUAAUUACCCA